GACGAACGCUGGCGGCGUGCUUAACACAUGCAAGUCGAACGGUGACGAGGAGCUUGCUCCUCUGAUCAGUGGCGAACGGGUGAGUAACACGUGAGCAACCUGCCCCAGACUCUGGGAUAACAGUUGGAAACAGCUGCUAAUACCGGAUACGAGACGGAGAGGCAUCUCUACCGUCUGGAAAGUUUUUCGGUCUGGGAUGGACUCGCGGCCUAUCAGCUAGUUGGUGAGGUAAUGGCUCACCAAGGCGACGACGGGUAGCCGGCCUGAGAGGGCGACCGGCCACACUGGGACUGAGACACGGCCCAGACUCCUACGGGAGGCAGCAGUGGGGAAUAUUGCACAAUGGGCGAAAGCCUGAUGCAGCGACGCCGCGUGAGGGAUGACGGCCUUCGGUUGUAACUCUGUCUGGGGACGGAGUAAGGACGGUACCCCGGACGGAAGCCCGGCGUACUAACGUGCCACGCAGCCGGGUAAACGGAAGGUAGUACA
rnacentral:rRNA from 1 species